GAGAGUGAGAAAACUGGGCCAGUCGGAGCUCUCAAGGCUGUGGAAGUGACACAGCAGUGGAAAAAGUGCAGAAAUAUCAGCACCUGGGGGGACAAGGAAGGAGUAUGACAAGAGCAGAAGAACUGGAGUCCCCGGGGUAUCCCAGCAGGCGCUCGUGGGAAGUGGUAGAAAGGCAAUGAUGGGUUCCUUACCAGCCUUGGACUCUCCGGCAGCCACGUGAAGCCUCUUCAGUCGGAGGGCUCUCCUCUCCUCCCCUCUCCGCUGUUGACAUGCUCUGCAUUUUUGCCAGCAAAGCCCUCCAUGGAGCCCCAAGUGAAGGACUGCAGAGCUGCUGGGUUUGUGCUGACUGCUCUUGGCAGGACCAGGAGCUCUGAGAUGACCAGAGUGCAUUCCACACAGGCAGAAGGAAAGCUGUCACUGCUGCCAGUUCUUCAGGUGAGAGCAGGGCCUGAGGAAGACACAUGCAGAAAGAUGCAGGCUAGCCAUGCUUGGGAGGGAGCACAGCCUGUGAGCUGAACCUUUGCUGGCAACCAGCUGCUGCUUGCUUUUGCUUUGCUGCAGCUAUUCGCCCA